rnacentral:rRNA from 1 species
UGGGGAAUUUUGGACAAUGGGGGAAACCCUGAUCCAGCCAUCCCGCGUGUGCGAUGAAGGCCUUCGGGUUGUAAAGCACUUUUGGCAGGAAAGAAACGUCAUGGGUUAAUACCCCGUGAAACUGACGGUACCUGCAGAAUAAGCACCGGCUAACUACGUGCCAGCAGCCGCGGUAAUACGUAGGGUGCAAGCGUUAAUCGGAAUUACUGGGCGUAAAGCGUGCGCAGGCGGUUCGGAAAGAAAGAUGUGAAAUCCCAGAGCUCAACUUUGGAACUGCAUUUUGAACUACCGGGCUAGAGUGUGUCAGAGGGAGGUGGAAUUCCGCGUGUAGCAGUGAAAUGCGUAGAUAUGCGGAGGAACACCGAUGGCGAAGGCAGCCUCCUGGGAUAACACUGACGCUCAUGCACGAAAGCGUGGGGAGCAAACAGG